rnacentral:rRNA from 1 species
CAGUCGAGCGGAACGAGUUAUCUGAACCUUCGGGGAACGAUAACGGCGUCGAGCGGCGGACGGGUGAGUAAUGCCUAGGAAAUUGCCCUGAUGUGGGGGAUAACCAUUGGAAACGAUGGCUAAUACCGCAUGAUGCCUACGGGCCAAAGAGGGGGACCUUCGGGCCUCUCGCGUCAGGAUAUGCCUAGGUGGGAUUAGCUAGUUGGUGAGGUAAGGGCUCACCAAGGCGACGAUCCCUAGCUGGUCUGAGAGGAUGAUCAGCCACACUGGAACUGAGACACGGUCCAGACUCCUACGGGAGGCAGCAGUGGGGAAUAUUGCACAAUGGGCGCAAGCCUGAUGCAGCCAUGCCGCGUGUGUGAAGAAGGCCUUCGGGUUGUAAAGCACUUUCAGUCGUGAGGAAGGUAGUGUAGUUAAUAGCUGCAUUAUUUGACGUUAGCGGCAGAAGAAGCACCGGCUAACUCCGUGCCAGC